UAAUCCAAGUGCUUUCAUUCUGUGUG
rnacentral:piRNA from 1 species